ensembl:lincRNA
GGCAAUGAAUUUUCUAAUGAUAAAAUGUCCUUGAACUCUCAUUUCAGGUGCCCAGGAAGUCCUGGAACUGAGUCCUGGGGCAAGGUUCUGGAAGGUGGGACAAGAAGACAGCCCUGGUAA